CUUACACAUGCAAGUCGAACGGCAGCACGGGAGCAAUCCUGGUGGCGAGUGGCGAACGGGUGAGUAAUAUAUCGGAACGUGCCCAGUCGUGGGGGAUAACGUAGCGAAAGCUACGCUAAUACCGCAUACGAUCUACGGAUGAAAGCGGGGGAUCGCAAGACCUCGCGCGAUUGGAGCGGCUGAUAUCAGAUUAGCUAGUUGGUGAGGUAAAGGCUCACCAAGGCAACGAUCUGUAGCGGGUCUGAGAGGAUGAUCCGCCACACUGGAACUGAGACACGGUCCAGACUCCUACGGGAGGCAGCAGUGGGGAAUUUUGGACAAUGGGCGAAAGCCUGAUCCAGCAAUGCCGCGUGCAGGAAGAAGGCCUUCGGGUUGUAAACUGCUUUUGUACGGAACGAAAAGGCCUGCCCUAAUACGGCGGGCUCAUGACGGUACCGUAAGAAUAAGCACCGGCUAACUACGUGCCAGCAGCCGCGGUAAUACGUAGGGUGCGAGCGUUAAUCGGAAUUACUGGGCGUAAAGCGUGCGCAGGCGGUUUUGUAAGACAGGCGUGAAAUCCCCGGGCUCAACCUGGGAACUGCAUUUGUGACUGCAAAGCUGGAGUGCGGCAGAGGGGGAUGGAAUUCCGCGUGUAGCAGUGAAAUGCGUACAUAUGCGGAGGAACACCGAUGGCGAAGGCAAUCCCCUGGGCCUGCACUGACGCUCAUGCACGAAAGCGUGGGGAGCAAACAGGAUUAGAUACCCUGGUAGUCCAAUC
rnacentral:rRNA from 1 species